rnacentral:lncRNA from 1 species
GGAGAGUGAAACAGAAGGGGCAACUGUGCAGUCAGUGCAGGGGCCUGAGGCCCUGAGAAGAAUCCCUGGGCUCCCAACCUGGAUUAGAUUCAAGCAGUUGCCGAGUAGAAGGGCCAGGGGGCAACCAGGAGGCCCUAAGCAGAGUGGAAACUGAGGAGGAGGUUCUGAAAGAGGCUGCAGAGCCCACAGUCAGGCAGUGAGGGCAGCCCACUCCCACCCCAGCUGAAACCGGACAGCGUGACUCUAGCCCCCAACUCUGUAGGCAGUGGGGGAGGGGGAGGAGGAUUUUCCAGAUGAAACCUAGACCAACAAGUCCUUCUAGAGCUUUGAAGAAGGAACUGGGGAAGCGAGACCACGAGACGCCUGAUCCCACUGUGUGAAGCUGUGACAUCACGAGUGACUUACUCUAAGUUUUGCUGUGGCUAGGAGAGGAGAUGAGAACUUGGGAAAUGGCGCCCUACCAGCUUGGCAUGCAGAGGAAUCCGAGAGGAAGAGCUUCCUACUGGGAUUAAUCUCUGAGCGCCUCACCGUCCCAGGCUGGUUCCCUUCAGCCUGCCCACAGCUCCGGACAUCCUCCAUUCCUUCAGAUCUCUGCACUGGAACCAGCUCAGUGGAGUGUGUUUCCUGCUGGGACCCUGGCUGAUCAGUACCUGAUGGUCAUUUUGUGUCUUUCCAGCUGUCUUUUGUGCUAGUUCUCAAACUCGUGCCUUCUCCCAACUGCCCCCUUGGCUGUGGGCGCCAGCAUUUCCCAAGGACUGGGGAGUGACUUUUAGUCAUCUGUGACUGGUUGCUCCCAUUCCCUGAUCCCCCGCAAUCUGACAAGUCCCCACCCCCUGAGACUCUAACCCCACAGAAUCCCUCAUGCCCUCCCCCCCUUUCCCUUCUCAUGGCUUCUCCUUCCCUUUCACUCCCUUCUCACUGCCCACUCAAAGGGCUAUGACAAGACCAUCCUAACUAGACCCCCAGCCUCAAGGCUCCUUCUCUGAAUUCCUAAUUCGGCCUACGAUUUGCCGCCAGAUUAAUCUUCCGAAAGCUGGGGCUUUCACAUUUUUUGGCCAUGAUUCACAAUAAGCAAUGUAUUUUACUUCACAACCCAGCACACUCGUACAAAACUCACAAGGCAGUACUGCACUCUGAUAUUUUUUUAAGAUUUUAUUUUCCUUUUUCUCCCCAAAGCCCCCCUGUACAUAGUUGUAUAUUUUAGUUGUGAGUCCUUCUAGUUGUGGCAUGUGGGACGCCGCCUCAGCAUGGCCUGAUGAGCGGUGCCAUGUCGGUGCCCAGGAUCCGAACCGGCGAAACCCUGAGCCACCAAAGCGGAGUGCGAAUUUAACCACUCGGACACCGGGCUGGCCCCCCCUUUUUUUUGUAUUUAAGGUUUUUAUGAUGUUUGUUUAAUUAAUGACCCACGAAAUUGAGUUUGUGGCCCACUAAUGGGUCGUAUCACACAGUUUGAAAAGACUGCCCCACCACAGCUCUAAUUAUGUCAUACCCCAGUGAAAGCUUUCUGUUGUCCCCAUUGUUGACUGAAU